rnacentral:rRNA from 1 species
GUCUACUGCCAUACCACCCUGAAUGCGCCCGAUCUCAUCUGAUCUCAGAAGCUAAGCAGGGUUGGGCCUAGCUAGUACUUGGAUGGGAGAAUUAAAUUCUUGUGAAUG